CUCUUAUUCCCUAAUCUUUCUUUUGCCAGUUUUUACAGUUUUUUCUUCCUGACCUAAAAGAUCCCCAGAGUCUUGGGAUUUAUUUAGACAUUAGGAUAAGUUGUGUGCUUUCUAUCUCACUAAGAAUGAAAGUGAAAGUGCCUCAGUUCUUUUAUAGCCCCUGGUUCAAGACAAACACAGUCACUUCAUGCUGCAGCUCCCACUGAACAAACUGCACCAAGAAACCAUUUUACCUUGUUUGUUUUUCCGAAGCCACACAUUUACAGCAAAGACGUCAACAUGUACCAGACUUCUGGAGUUAAAGUCCACACCAUCACUACUGGGGAGACGUUUGGUGCUGAUAAAGAACUGCUGAAUAAAGUGAAGAGGAGGGUUCAGCUGACCGUCACACACUGGAUGGAAAGCCGCUUCAUCAUCGUUUUCUGUCCCAUCACCUCUCGCGUUGGAUCAGAUGUGGAAGCGGCCAUGACCAAGGUUCCAGGAGAUCAAAAUGUCAUUCUGGUUCUGAUGCACCACACCCGAGAUGAGGGCUACUCCACCGCUGGAGUGAGCUGGUGUGACCAAUACCGCAACGUCAUCCUGGAUGUUCAUGUUCUCUUCCAUGAGACGGUGCCAGGAUUGCUGCUGUGUGCUAAAAAUACUGAGGCAGUCGAUCAAAUGAUCCAUGAAUUAGAUCAACGGUCUCAGAACCAACAGAUCAGGCAGAUCAGACCCAGGGAGCGAGGUCUAAUUAACAGGCUCGAUGAAUGCUGUUUCCCUUAUUGGAAGAUUGUACUCCCAUUUGUUGUGGUGGUGUUGUUCAUCUUACUUCUUGUCAUUUUCUUGGCGUAGUUUGGAGAUCAGCAAAUUAAAAAUAAAGUAUGUCCUGAUUAUUGUAUGCUCCAAUAAUUAAAAUGUUUACUCAUCAAAAUUCAUUAGAUUAUGUACUUUAACAAUAAAACAAUUGGGAAAAAAGAAUUUACUGCAUAGUACAAUGAUUGUGUUGCAACUAAUAAACAGAGAGACAAAGACUUGAGUUGAAGAGUGAUGAAUAUGCAUGAUAACAAAAAGCAAGGCUAUUAUGGAUAUAAUAUAUGUGCUUUUUAGUUUUUUACUUAGUUUAUUUUCUAGUUGGGCACAAAUUGAAAACUGAUUUUGAACUUUAAAAAAAGAUUUUUUGAUGCCUAACCCAGACAUGUUCUCUAUUACUAGUUUAUUCCUAACCUUAACUAAAGCUUAUUUCAAACCUUGUAACUAAAGCUAGCCCUUAGCCCUAAACAAGAGGUUCCACCAUAUUAGGACUUGGCUUUGGUCCCCAUAGAACUCUGGAAUGAAAUUAGAAAAGGUUGACGGAAAUGGCAAAAUUCGAAACAAUUUCACGAAAGUGUUUUCAUACUAGCUUGAGGUGGAUUUAGACUUAUUUUAAAAGAGACAAUGCGCUAAAAAGAUGAAAAGACUUUUUCUGAAUAAGUGCUGACAUAGCCAACAGUUUCUUAUUUAUUAUAGCCGUGCAUAAUGUCAGAAUCUGCAUAAUGGUUGAUUCUCUAUAUACCAUUAGAUAGGAACAUGCCUAAUUCACAUUUUCAUCUUUAUUUCUUUUUUGCAAAAUCUUUAAAGCUUCCUCAAAAUUCACGUAACAGUUGGAUGGAAACAUAGUUAUUGUCUUGUAUAAAAUAUGUUCUCACUGUGAAAUUGUCUUUUCCCUGCUGAAAAUGAAUCCUUGUGUGAACAUCUAAGUCUGGUCCUCUGUGCUUUAAUAAAAAUAGCUAAUAUCAUAAUAUCAGAGUAAGAUACAGUCUGGAUGAUAUCCAAUAGAUAUCAGGCAGGAAGAAAAAUAAAGCCUGCUAGGGGUGUUAAGGCGAACUAGCAUGGCAGCUGAUAAUAGGGUAUGAACGGUUUUCCUAUAAUGAUAAGUUGCUUUUCAACCACUAGUACAUUGAGCAGUGCAUACACGAGUCUGAUUGACAGCGCUAAGACACUCCUUCAUGGUGACUUCAUGGUAACAGGUUUAGCAAAUAUGCAAUAACAUAUUUUUGUAAAAAUUACAUACUGCAAUUUUAAUGCCAGUAAAGACGUAUCCAUUUGUUCUCUUAAAAUAAAAUGUAAACAAAAUAAAUAUUUUUUUUGUUGGAAACAGCCUUGUUUCUCAAAUUAAAGUGUGAAUCCUACCACAUCAAAUGUGUUUUUUCCUAUGCUAUCAUGUUUUUGUACUCCACUACAGUGAAACAUUUAGUACACAAUACUGUAACAGAGGUCAGCAGUUAUAAAAAUUGCAAUAUGGGUGUUGAUAAAGGCUUUUGACUGUUGUCAGCAACAAUAAAACACUGUCCUAUCUCUUCUUAGUUGUACAAAACUGCACUGCAAUCACUCUGUUAUCAUCCAGUCUUCCUUUGAAUAACAACUAGUGGGUUUCUUAUAAACCAGAGAGCUUCUCAGAACAGAAAGUGAAAGUACAAAAACCUCUCUGGCCUGUUUGUUCUUUUAGCAGACUCAGUUAGUGUUUAACGCCACAGCAGCAGAAACGCAGCAGAGGUAACCAAAACAUGAGGAAUCCUGUAGCUAAAGUUCAGACAAUCACUACAGGGGAAACCUUUGGAGCAGAUGUGGAUCUGAUGAACCAAGUCAUCCAAAAGGAUACAAGUCGGGAUGCACAACACAUCAUCCUUUUCUGUCCAAUCACAUCUCGUGUUGGCUCAGAUGUGCAGGCAGCCCUGGAAAAAGUCCCAUAUGGUCGAAGAAUCAUCCUGGUUUUGAUGCACCACACCCGAGAUGCUGACUACUCAACGGCUGGGAUAAAGUGGUCAGAAUGCACUGAAAACGUUGUCCUGGAUGUUCACGUUUUCUUCCAUGAAAGUGUCCCAGGAUUACUGAGCUGUGCACAAAAUCACAAGGCAGUGUUGGAAAUAAGACAUUUUUUAGAAGGACACAAAAAGAAUUCAGAUCAGAAUUGGGCUUUGGUUGGGUAUGGCUAUUGGCUAUUGUGUUGUGUUUUUUCUUGGGUCUUGUCUGAUGGCAGGUUUUGGAUGAGGCUCUGGAACUGGUUCUGGCAUCUAGACAGGCUUUGGGUGAGGCUUGUGAUUUGGUUUGGUACUCAGCUUUCUCGUUUGAUUUCAGUUUUGCUGUUCUAUGUAAGAAAACCAAAAGUUAUUAAAGACAGACUUCCUUAAUACCAUCAUUAACUCUACAACUUGUUUGUAAAUACGAGUUGUUUAAGUCUCUUACACACAGAGUCAUUACAAAAUUGUCUAUAUGAACACAGGCACAGUUAUAGGCAGAGACUAGAGAACAGCUCAGCCAGAGUUACUAUAUUUGUAGUCACAGAUACUUAUCUUACUUGCCUCAUAGGCUCCAAAGGCAUUUAUUAUGACAUUACAUUGAAAUAAAAAUAUCUUACUCUGCAAAACAGUAUCUUGCAAUUGUUAGACUAUGUCAAAAUAAAGUGUUUAUGAUUGUGAUGCUGGUAUAAUAAACUGUCUAUUUAGUUGCUUUUUACUGAAGGUCAACUAGACCCUUUGAAUGAAUGAAUUCUCGUGACUCUUCUUAAUGCAUGUUGUAACCUUGAAUUAGACCUCUGCCUAUAACUAUUUCAACAUGAUGUUUGGGAACUGUUUCCUCUGAAAAAUGAUCAAUAAAGUAUAAAGAACAAUAGAAUA